AGAAGAAGAAGAAGAAAAAGAAGAAGAAGGACUCCAGCUCCUCUUCUUCUGAUAGCGAGGAUGACAAGAAGAAAAAGAAGAAGAAAAAAGACAAGAAGAAGAAGAAAAAGAAGAAAGUAUUCCCUGUGUUUCUUAAUUUUCAAGACUCCAGCUCCUCGUCUUCUGAUAGCUCUUCUUCUUCAUCCUCUUCUGACAGUGAGGAUGACAAGAUGAAAAAG